UAGUGUUACAGCUCUUUUAGAAUUUGUCUAGCAGGCCUUCUGGUUUUCGCUGGGUAGUCCCCA
ensembl:snRNA U7 U7 small nuclear RNA